rnacentral:rRNA from 2 species
AGAGUUUGAUCCUGGCUCAGGACGAACGCUGGCGGCGUGCCUAAUACAUGCAAGUCGAACGCUUCUUUUUCCACCGGAGCUUGCUCCACCGGAAAAAGAGGAGUGGCGAACGGGUGAGUAACACGUGGGUAACCUGCCCAUCAGAAGGGGAUAACACUUGGAAACAGGUGCUAAUACCGUAUAACAAUCGAAACCGCAUGGUUUUGAUUUGAAAGGCGCUUUCGGGUGUCGCUGAUGGAUGGACCCGCGGUGCAUUAGCUAGUUGGUGAGGUAACGGCUCACCAAGGCCACGAUGCAUAGCCGACCUGAGAGGGUGAUCGGCCACAUUGGGACUGAGACACGGCCCAAACUCCUACGGGAGGCAGCAGUAGGGAAUCUUCGGCAAUGGACGAAAGUCUGACCGAGCAACGCCGCGUGAGUGAAGAAGGUUUUCGGAUCGUAAAACUCUGUUGUUAGAGAAGAACAAGGAUGAGAGUAACUGUUCAUCCCUUGACGGUAUCUAACCAGAAAGCCACGGCUAACUACGUGCCAGCAGCCGCGGUAAUACGUAGGUGGCAAGCGUUGUCCGGAUUUAUUGGGCGUAAAGCGAGCGCAGGCGGUUUCUUAAGUCUGAUGUGAAAGCCCCCGGCUCAACCGGGGAGGGUCAUUGGAAACUGGGAGACUUGAGUGCAGAAGAGGAGAGUGGAAUUCCAUGUGUAGCGGUGAAAUGCGUAGAUAUAUGGAGGAACACCAGUGGCGAAGGCGGCUCUCUGGUCUGUAACUGACGCUGAGGCUCGAAAGCGUGGGGAGCAAACAGGAUUAGAUACCCUGGUAGUCCACGCCGUAAACGAUGAGUGCUAAGUGUUGGAGGGUUUCCGCCCUUCAGUGCUGCAGCUAACGCAUUAAGCACUCCGCCUGGGGAGUACGACCGCAAGGUUGAAACUCAAAGGAAUUGACGGGGGCCCGCACAAGCGGUGGAGCAUGUGGUUUAAUUCGAAGCAACGCGAAGAACCUUACCAGGUCUUGACAUCCUUU